ensembl:lncRNA
CGGGGCAGGGCGAGCGAGCCGGGCGGGGCCCCGCCUCCUCUCGCGAGACUCCAGGCGCGCUCCAGGAUCGCCCCUUUCGAAACCCCGGCGGAGGGGGCGGGGUGCUCCCCCGGCGGUCUCCUGACGCGGGACCUGCGCCCUCCCCGGAGUCUAGCUACUCAAAUAAACCCGAAAUAGGGCUGUUAGGAGGGGGUAGGUGACAUAAUAAACUGGAAGAACCAUUGUUCAGUCCCAAAGGUGUGAUUAUCCAGUCCACGAUGUGCGAGAAGUCAAGGGCAAAACUCAGACAUGAUGAGAUAUGACUAGUCUCCAAGCUACCUGGGUUUAAAAGCAACAAAGGAUACUGAUUUGUUCCUUAUAUUCCUGUAUUCAUAGAGGAAUUCCUAGGGAGCAAAGUAUGUUCUUAUUUAAUUUACACAACAUAUUGGACAAGGUGCUCAAUAAAAAUAAAACAUUGUCAUCUAAUGAACACAAAACUAUUAAUACAUAUGUAGUAGACAUCCCCAGUUUAUAAUAGUGUAAAAUUAAAGUCAUGGGAAUGAGUCACUUUCUGAAAGUCACAGAUAAGUCCUAGACUAUAUUUUCUUCUUUUCCCCUCCCUUCUCUGUCCUCAAAAAUUGAUAGUUGAAGAUUAAAAUACCUACUGUUGUUUUCACUAUAAUAACCUCAUUGUUUUAUGUGGUAGUAAAAUCAACAGCAAAAUCUUAUUACUUAAUUUACCACAGUUGUCCAGAUCUGAGUAUCUGCGAAUUGGGUUUUCUUUUUCAUGAC